rnacentral:ncRNA from 2 species
UACGAACUGCGCGAACGUUAUUCGGAUUCACUGGGCUUAAAGGGUGCGUAGGCGGUCUGUUAAGUAGGGUGUGAAAUCUGCGGGCUCAACCGGCAGAGUGCAUUCUAAACUGGCAGACUUGAGUGAGUCAGGGGUGUGUGGAACUGCCAGUGGAGCGGUGAAAUGUGUUGAUAUUGGCAGGAACGCCGGUGGCGAAAGCGACACACUGGGGCUUUUCUGACGCUGAGGCACGAAAGCCAGGGGAGCGAACGGG